rnacentral:rRNA from 1 species
AUUGAACGCUGGCGGCAGGCCUAAACAUUCCAGUCGAGCGAGCGGCGGACGGGUGAGUAAUGCCUGGGAAUUGCCCAGUCGGGGGGGAUAACAGUUGGAAACGACUGCUACUACCGCAUACGUUUGGGUUGCCCAGGUGGGAUUAGCUAGUUGGGGAGGUAAUGGCUCACCAAGGCGACGAUCCCUAGUGGGUCUGAGAGGAUGAUCAGCCACACUGGAACUGAGACACGGUCCAGACUCCUACGGGAGGCAGCAUUGGGGAAUAUUGCACAAGGGGGGAAACCCUGAUGCAGCCAUGCCGCGUGUGUGAAGAAGGCCUUCGGGUUGUAAAGCACUUUCAGCGAGGAGGCGGUACUCGCAGAAGAAGCACCGGCUAACUCCGUGCCAGCCGCCGCGGUAAUUC